rnacentral:rRNA from 1 species
CCUACGGGUGGCAGCAGUGGGGAAUAUUGGACAAUGGGCGAAAGCCUGAUCCAGCCAUGCCGCGUGUGUGAAGAAGGCCUUCGGGUUGUAAAGCACUUUCAGCGGGGAAGAAAGCCUUGGGGCUAAUACCCUCGAGGAAGGACAUCACCCACAGAAGAAGCACCGGCUAACUCCGUGCCAGCAGCCGCGGUAAUACGGAGGGUGCGAGCGUUAAUCGGAAUUACUGGGCGUAAAGCGCGCGUAGGCGGUCUGAUAAGCCGGUUGUGAAAGCCCCGGGCUCAACCUGGGAACGGCAUCCGGAACUGUCAGGCUAGAGUGCAGGAGAGGAAGGUAGAAUUCCCGGUGUAGCGGUGAAAUGCGUAGAGAUCGGGAGGAAUACCAGUGGCGAAGGCGGCCUUCUGGACUGACACUGACGCUGAGGUGCGAAAGCGUGGGUAGCAAACAGGAUUAGAUACCCGAGUAGUC